GAUGAACGCUGGCGGCGUGCUUAACACAUGCAAGUCGAACGGAAAGGCCCAAGCUUGCUUGGGUACUCGAGUGGCGAACGGGUGAGUAACACGUGGGUGAUCUGCCCUGCACUUCGGGAUAAGCCUGGGAAACUGGGUCUAAUACCGGAUAGGACGAUGGUUUGGAUGCCAUUGUGGAAAGUUUUUUCGGUGUGGGAUGAGCUCGCGGCCUAUCAGCUUGUUGGUGGGGUAAUGGCCUACCAAGGCGUCGACGGGUAGCCGGCCUGAGAGGGUGUACGGCCACAUUUGGACUGAGAUACGGCCCAGACUCCGACGGGAGGCAGAAGGGGGGAAUAUUGCACAAUGGGCGCAAGCCUGAUGCAGCGACGCCGCGUGGGGGAUGACGGCCUUCGGGUUGUAAACUCCUUUCGCUAGGGACGAAGCGUUUUUGUGACGGUACCUGGAGAAGAAGCACCGGCUAACUACGUG
rnacentral:rRNA from 1 species